rnacentral:tRNA from 1 species
CAGGGAGACAACAAAAUGUUUAAUAUUAUUUUGUCACCUUAGGUCGAUCGGUAUCUCACGUUUUUAAUUUAUUAAGAAUUUCAUUUCCUAAGUUUUUCUAGGUCACACCCAUUAUUUUUCCUGGGCCAUUAGCUCAGGUGGUUAGAGCGCACCCCUGAUAAGGGUGAGGUCCCUGGUUCAAGUCCAGGAUGGCCCAUAUCUCUAUGUUGGGGGUAUAGCUCAGUUGGUAGAGCGCCUGCUUUGCAAGCAGGAUGUCAGCGGUUCGAGUCCGCUUACCUCCACUGAUUACCACCUCUUCCAUACCGGUAGAAUGGAAAUGUUUUGAGUCGUGAUCAAAUUCUGAAAGAAUCUAGCUUCCUAAUGAAAUCAUUAAGAUGCUGGACUCAUUGAAUUAAUUUCAUUGUUUUCAGAGAACCUUGACAACUGCAUAGAUUAUUUUUAAAGACAAUAAGCAUCUUUAAUGAUGCAGAUUUAUUAUUUGUGCGAAUGCAUUAAUAACAAUUCUAUUAAGCUGAUGCUUCAAUUUUUGAAGUUAUU